AGAGAGAGAGGCAGGCUGGGUCCGCCUGGCAGCCUACGGGAGGAGGCGGGAGUGGGGAAGGAGGGGAGACGAGGCCCGGCGUGGGGGAGGCCGGCAGCAAGGGCCGCUAGCCCAUUGCGGACCUUUCUUCAGCCCCUGUAGUGUCCCAGCGGUGCGCUAGGCUGCAGCGCGAAGAGGACGCCCAGACUUCGUCUGACCCGAGCUCGGAUGGAACAGAAAUAGAGGGACCUCAACAGCUGGCGAACCGAGUGUCUGAUGCCUCUUGGAGCCGGAUCCUACCGUGAGAAAACUGGGGUGCAGAGACCUGGCGAGGAACUGCAGAAGGCCUGAGAGCCUGGAGGUCUGCGGUGGGGAGGAAGUCACUGUUGAGAGAGGCUGCAUCGCUUCACUUUUGCAGUUGCUUAACUCUUUGCAAAGUUCUCAGAAGUCCCCCUCUGAGAAAGGAAAGUUAGAGAACUGAAGUCUGGUUGCUGUGAUUGCGGGGAGAAGGUGAAGCAGAAUCUUGGACUCCGAGCCCGGACUGAAACUUAGCAGAGGGCGGGGGUUGUCUCGUGACAGGCGAUUGUAGGGAUCUGAGUAAGGGGUUUCACUUUUUUCAGUAGGAGGAGCGGGAAGAAGAGGGCUACAGGGGUGAAGUUGGAGAGGAGACUGUUGCAGAGAGCAACCUCCUCAGAGAAAUGGACAGCUUAAUCCCAGACCAGAGGCCCAGGGAAGGCAGGGCACGCCCUGCCCAAAAGAGACGCCAGUCAGACUUGUACCUAAGGAAGAAACCUUAAUAUCAUCUAGACAACCUCCUGCUACAGUGAAAAGAAAGAAGGUUUUGAUCUGGACUGGAAUUUAACUCUCUAACCCCCAACUGUCUCAUUUCCUUUCACCAAGUUUUCAACCAGGAGGAAAGCUUGCCCUGACACUCUCUUUGGAAGACUUCCCAAAGUUACUAGUCUCAGUUUGCCUAAGGUGCAGAGUUAGAAAGAACCAGUUGGAAGUUAACUUCUCCCCCAGAAUGGACCUCAUUAUGUAGCCUGGCCCUCUUCCUAUACUGGCAAGAAAAUCUGAGGUCCAUUUAUACCUUAAUUUCCCCCACAGAAUCAUGUUGGAGCUAGGAUUUUGCAUGAAAUCACCUCUUACCCUAGCUUGCCUACUCUGAUAUCUUAUGGGUUUUCAUGAAAGGACUUUCUAAAUAAAUCAUGUGUAUACAAUCCUCAUCUCAGGGCAUGAUUCUGGGGUCCCUAAUGUGAGCCAUUGCCUUUCGUUUUUACAGAUGAGGAAACCGAGGUUUGGUUAUUUUAAAUUGCCUGAAGUCACACUACCAAUAAAGGAUAGAGUUGUGAUUUGAAACCUGUGUGACUCAAAGUUUUUACUACUAAUGUUAUAUUACAUUUAAACUCCUUAAUACUAAGUGCAUUUAAAGUAACUGAACAGAUGUGGAAACAAAAUUCAGCAAUUGAUUGAUCAACAGAUGUAAAAAUGUUGUUCAUAUAUUAAGAAAUCUGUAAAUGUUUGAGGAGGAAAGACUGUGGACAGUAUGAUCAACAUGUGAUGCACCUCAUCCAAAAAUCCUUAUCAGAGAUGUACUGACAUGUCCCAAAUUUUUGCCCAGUGGUAAAUGUUCAGUGUGGUUCUCAAUCAAGGGCUCUCUUCAAGCCAAGGUUGAAUUGGAUAUUUCUAUCAGUUUGCUACUGCUUCUGUAACAGAUUAGUUGUUUAAAAUCCAAGAUGGGUCUCAACACGCCAUGUUAGACUUCUGACCUCACAAACUGUGGAUAAUAAAUUAAGGUGCUAAUUGA